GUGUGCUUAAGAUGCAAGUCGAACGAGCCUUCGGGCUAGUGGCGGACGGGUGAGUAACGCGUGGGAAUCUGCCCUCAGGAGGGGGAUAACGGCCGGAAACGGCCGCUAAUACCCCAUAUGCCGAGAGGUGAAAUGAAUUUCGCCUGAGGAUGAGCCCGCGUCUGAUUAGCUAGUUGGUGGGGUAAUGGCCCACCAAGGCGACGAUCAGUAGCUGGUCUGAGAGGAUGAUCAGCCACACUGGGACUGAGACACGGCCCAGACUCCUACGGGAGGCAGCAGUGGGGAAUUUUCCGCAAUGGGCGAAAGCCUGACGGAGCAACGCCGCGUGAGGGAUGAAGGCCUCUGGGCUGUAAACCUCUUUUCUCAAGGAAGAAGACAUGACGGUACUUGAGGAAUAAGCCACGGCUAAUUCCGUGCCAGCAGCCGCGGUAAUACGGGAGUGGCAAGCGUUAUCCGGAAUUAUUGGGCGUAAAGCGUCCGCAGGCGGCCUUGUAAGUCUGUCGUUAAAGCGUGGAGCUUAACUCCAUUUCAGCGAUGGAAACUACAAGGCUUGAGUGUGGUAGGGGCAGAGGGAAUUCCCGGUGUAGCGGUGAAAUGCGUAGAUAUCGGGAAGAACACCAGUGGCGAAGGCGCUCUGCUGGGCCAUAACUGACGCUCAUGGACGAAAGCCAGGGGAGCGAAAGGGAUUAGAUACCCCUGUAGUCCUGGCCGUAAACGAUGAACACUAGGUGUCGGGGGAAUCGACCCCCUCGGUGUCGUAGCUAACGCGUUUAAGUGUUCCGCCUGGGGAGUACGCACGCAAGUGUGAAACUCAAAGGCAAUUGACGGGGGCCCGCACAAGCGGUGGAGUAUGUGGUUUAAUUCGAUGCAACGCGAAGAACCUUACCAGGGUUUGACAUCCUGCGAAUCCCUUGGAAACGAGGGAGUGCCUUCGGGAGCGCAGAGACAGGUGGUGCAUGGCUGUCGUCAGCUCGUGUCGUGAGAUGUUGGGUUAAGUCCCGCAACGAGCGCAACCCACGUCUUUAGUUGCCAGCAUUCAGUUGGGCACUCUAGAGAGACCGCCGGUGAUAAACCGGAGGAAGGUGUGGAUGACGUCAAGUCAUCAUGCCCCUUACAUCCUGGGCUACACACGUACUACAAUGCUACGGACAAAGGGUUGCAAGCUCGCGAGAGUUAGCUAAUCCCAUAAACCGUGGCUCAGUUCAGAUCGUAGGCUGCAACUCGCCUACGUGAAGGAGGAAUCGCUAGUAAUCGCAGGUCAGCAUACUGCGGUGAAUACGUUCCCGGGCCUUGUACACACCGCCCGUCACACCAUGGAAGUUGGCCAUGCCCGAAGUCGUUACUCCAACCCUUGUGGAGGAGGACGCCGAAGGUGGGGCUGAUGACUGGGGUGAAGUCGUAACAAGGUAGCCGUACCGGAAGGUGCGGCUGGAUCACCUCCU
rnacentral:rRNA from 1 species